GUCUACGGCCACACCACCCUGAACGCGCCCGAUCUCGUCUGAUCUCGGAAGCUAAGCAGGGUCAGGCCUGGUUAGUGCUUGGAUGGGAGACAGAGAGCUGCUAGGGUGAUAAGGU
ensembl:rRNA 5S_rRNA 5S ribosomal RNA